rnacentral:rRNA from 1 species
UACGGAGGGGGCUAGCGUUGUUCGGAAUUACUGGGCGUAAAGGGCUCGUAGGCGGCCAACUAAGUCCGACGUGAAAUCCCCAGGCUUAACCUGGGAACUGCGUCCGAUACUGGAGGGCUUGAGUGUGGGAGAGGGAUGCGGAAUUCCAGGUGUAGCGGUGAAAUGCGUAGAUAUCUGGAGGAAUACCGGUGGCGAAGGCGGCAUCCUGGACCAUUACUGACGCUGAGGCGCGAAAGCUAGGGGAGCAAACGGG